rnacentral:rRNA from 1 species
AUGAACGCUGGCGGCGUGCCUCAUACAUGCAAGUCGAGCGAACAGACGAGGAGCUUGCUCCUCUGACGUUAGCGGCGGACGGGUGAGUAACACGUGGAUAACCUACCUAUAAGACUGGGAUAACUUCGGGAAACCGGAGCUAAUACCGGAUAAUAUAUUGAACCGCAUGGUUCAAUAGUGAAAGACGGUUUUGCUGUCACUUAUAGAUGGAUCCGCGCCGCAUUAGCUAGUUGGUAAGGUAACGGCUUACCAAGGCGACGAUGCGUAGCCGACCUGAGAGGGUGAUCGGCCACACUGGAACUGAGACACGGUCCAGACUCCUACGGGAGGCAGCAGUAGGGAAUCUUCCGCCAUGGGCGAAAGCCUGACGGAGCAACGCCGCGUGAGUGAUGAAGGUCUUCGGAUCGUAAAACUCCGUUAUUAGGGAAGAACAAAUGUGUAAGUAACUAUGCACGUCUUGACGGUACCUAAUCAGAAAGCCACGGCUAACUACGUG